UACGUAGGGUGCGAGCGUUAAUCGGAAUUACUGGGCGUAAAGCGUGCGCAGGCGGUUAUGUAAGACAUAUGUGAAAUGCCCGGGCUUAACCUGGGAACUGCAUUUGUGACUGCAUGGCUAGAGUUUGGCAGAGGGGGGUAGAAUUCCACGUGUAGCAGUGAAAUGCGUAGAUAUGUGGAGGAACACCGAUGGCGAAGGCAGCCCCCUGGGUCAAGACUGACGCUCAUGCACGAAAGCGUGGGGAGCAAACAGG
rnacentral:rRNA from 1 species